AUUGAACGCUGGCGGCAGGCCUAACACAUGCAAGUCGAGCGGUCCCUUUGGGGGCAGCGGCGGACGGGUGAGUAACGCGUGGGAACCUGGCCUUGGGUGCGGGAUAACGUCGGGAAACUGGCGCUAAUACCGCAUAAUGUCUACUGACCAAAGAUUUAUCGCCCAAGGAUGGGCCCGCGUUGGAUUAGCUAGAUGGUGGGUAACGGCCUACCAUGGCGACGAUCCAUAGCUGGUUUGAGAGGAUGAUCAGCCACACUGGGACUGAGACACGGCCCAGACUCCUACGGGAGGCAGCAGUGGGGAAUCUUGGACAAUGGGGGCAACCUGAUCCAGCCAUGCCGCGUGAGUGACGAAGGCCUUAGGGUUGUAAAACUCUUUCAGCGGGGACGAUAAUGACGGUACCCGCAGAAGAAGCCCGGCUAACUCCGUGCCAGCAGCCGCCGUAAG
rnacentral:rRNA from 1 species